UUAACUUUGUGUUUAGCAGACAGAGUACCCGGAUGUGGUUAGUGCAGCACAGAGCCUCAUCUCUGUGCUAACACAGACUCUUAAUCAGAGUCCUGUAACACCACGUCCACAAGUUCAAGUUCAGGGUCAGGGGCAGCAGACAGCAGUGCAAGAACAAAGACAGACAAAUACCACCAUUGAUCAGGACAUGGCCAGCAUCCCGAACACAUACCAAGCCUGCAAAAGCAUUUAAACCUUAUGAUUUAAAUGUGUAUCUUCUGGAUAAAAAUUCUGAGACCACCCCUUCACCUUCACAUGAACUCAAGCUUGUGCAAGCAGGGCUUGGCAAAAGGACAAUCUCAAUUACAAUGGACAUGACACAUUCAGAGUUUUCCAGCUUACUGUAUGAAGCAUUCCCAAAAAUGGAGGGUUUGAGUGGAGGAUGGAUGCUUUAUAAGGCUACUGGUGA